rnacentral:rRNA from 1 species
GUAAGGUAACGGCUUACCAAGGCGACGAUCAGUAGCCGACCUGAGAGGGUGACCGGCCACAUUGGGACUGAGACACGGCCCAAACUCCUACGGGAGGCAGCAGUGGGGAAUAUUGCACAAUGGGCGAAAGCCUGAUGCAGCGACGCCGCGUGAGUGAAGAAGUAUUUCGGUAUGUAAACUUCUAUCAGCAGGGAAGAAAAUGACGGUACCUGACUAAGAAGCCCCGGCUAACUAC